AUCAGCUGUGUGCUGGUGUUUAUGUUUAACUGUUCAUACAUUAAUAUUUCAUGUUUAUACUGCUUUCCCCCCAGUAGUGUUAUAACCUAUGAUGUCAUAUCCUGUACAACAACAACUAGAGUUUGUAUCUAUUGAAAGGCUGGGACUCACUCUACACCCCACCAAAACUCAACAUGACUAGGGACAUUAUUUCAUUGAUUCUGUUACUGCACUUGAGCCAAGGCACUAUGGGUGGGGAUGAUGUUGUUCAAGAGCCUAAAAUUCUGUGGGAACAAAAGGGGAAAUCUGCUCAUAUGAACUGCACACACAGUAAGGAUUCAACUUACAGACUGAUGUACUGGUACCGCCAGCGUCCAGGAGAGACUAUGAGACUCGUAGCAUUCACAACCUCUUACACCGAACCAGAAUAUGGAGAUUCUGAGAAAAAUAAAUUUUUGGCUAAUAAAACAGUUCCUGAGAAUGGAUCUCUAGCUGUGAAGAAUUUGGAGCCGGAUGACAGUGCCAUAUAUUUCUGUUCAGUGAGCGAACACACAGUGAAUCAAACACAAGGCAGAGAUGUACAAAAACAGGUGCAUUAAAAUAAGAGAUGAAUACUGAUCAACAGGGGGCAGUGUGGUUCAACAAAUUUCCAGCCA